UACGUAGGGGGCUAGCGUUGUCCGGAUUUAUUGGGCGUAAAGAGCGUGUAGGCGGCCAGAAAAGUCCGCUGUGAAAACUCGAGGCUCAACUUCGAGCUGUCGGUGGAAGCUUUCUGGCUAGAGUCCGGAAGAGGAGAAUGGAAUUCCUGGUGUAGCGGUGAAAUGCGCAGAUAUCAGGAAGAACACCCGUGGCGAAGGCGGCAUCCUGGACCGGCAUUGACGCUGAGGCGCGAAAGCCAGGGGAGCAAACGGG
rnacentral:rRNA from 1 species